rnacentral:lncRNA from 1 species
ACAACCAGGUGGUCGUGUCUGUUAGCACUCUUAGAAAUUGUAGAACCUUCUCUAGUUCGAACCAUACCUUCCUCGAGGUCCUGUAUCAACAUAUUAUUAGCCUUUGUAAUACAAUUGAACAUCCAUGUAACUAAAUUAGAAACAAUAAUUGAAUUUUACAUAAUUUAGAGCAAACAUAAAAAAAAAUAACAUAUGUUAUCUAGUUUCACAAGUUUUUCUGUUAUAUCCCCUUUAACCGGACAUGCCACAUAUAUUCAAUAAGUGUCCCUCUCUAGCGUCCAUUUUAUUAUAUUAGACGAGUCAAUUUUCUUUGACCCUUAUUUGCAUGUCAUCUAGUUAGACAUCCAUAUAUAUUUAGACCAGUAUAUGCAUACCACAAUUGCGUAUUAGGAAAUGGUUGAAAAUGAGGACUAUAUGCAUUUUCAUACGACAAAUUGGAGUUGAAAUCAUCAACAAAUUGCACAUAAUCCACAUUUGUAAAGAGCAACAUACAAUUAGAUGUGAACAUGGUCGAUGAUAUAGUUGUCAUUUGCCACAAUUAUAAGUUUCUUCAAUGAUGUUAAUUAUUCCCAGCAAGUCUCUUGUAACAUCAACUGUUGAAUGUGUCUCCGACUAAAUAUAUCGGUACCAAGAUCAAUUAGAUAUAUCACGUGUGAUCUAGAAGUUGUCGCAUCAACAAGUAAUCUAGCUAAGACCUUUAGAGGCCACAAUAAAUCGCUACUAAAAAAAUCUUCAACUUUUCUUUGUGCUCCCAAAAUAUUUAUUACACCUAAAAAAAAUUAUUUGCACUAUAGCCGAUACAAGCAAGCCACAUAUAAUUUUUAAAAUAUUAUUAAAAACCUCUGAGAAAUUCAUGGUCAUAUUUCCAUAACGACAACCACUAGAAUCAUAUAGCAAUACCUAUUUUUGUUUAGGUUCAACUUCUAGCUAUGCUCUGAUCGCAUCAUCAGUUUCCACCAAAUCCUCAUAUAAAAUGUCAAACUCUUGUUUAGAAGGAUUUGUGCAUAUCUUAUGCAACAUAUUUUUCAAUGUAAUAUUUUUUAACUUAGUGUUAAAGUUACUCACAAAGCAUCAUGAACAAUAUCGACGAUAUCCAAUAGCUCGGGAAAAUCCAUGCCAUGAAAUUCUUAAUUGCUACAAGUUUAUCUAAUACACAACCUGGUAUGACUACCAAUCACAUAUCGACAAAGCAAAUCUAAAAACCAAAUCCAAUUAUUGUUUGUCUCUUCUUUGACAAUAGCAAAACACAACAGAUAAACUCUAUUAUUUAUAUCAUAAGCAACUGAAACCAACAACUAUACCUUGUCCUUACCAUAAAUAUGAGUGUUGUUAAUACUAAUUAGAGGAUGACAGUAUUAAACCCAUUAAUUGAAGCACCAAAUGACCAAAAUGCUCUCUCAAAUAUUGCCUUAUUUCCAUCAACUAUUUUAUAAUCCCAAAUUAUAAUUGUUCCUAGAUUUGAAUCUUUAAUGGUCAAUAGCAUUCUAGGUAGGUUUUGAAAUCACUCUUUAUGUUUCUAAAUAACCUGUCUAAUAUUUUCUAUUUAGUCAUCCAUGCCUUCUAAUAAAAGACUUCAUGCUCAUAAUCCAUCUUUAUAGUACCUUGAAUCAUUGCAACUUUCGUACUUAAAUCCUUCUUUAUAAUUGUCAACAUCACCUUAGCAAUGAGAUAUGGGUUAAUCUGAUGAUGGAGUUGCAAAACAAGAAGGUUCUGACAUGUGUGUGGCCCUUUCAACUUUGAAAUCUCCCAUGAAUUAGACAUUUGGUGAUUUCCCCCACACAAAUACUAUCUAUAAACUGGUUCUUGGACACAUUACAACUUUAGUUGAAUGAUGGACCUUGUACUACAAUGAAUUCUUUAUAUGUCAUUGCCAAAGUUGUUAAAAUCACGAGUUAACUUUUAAAAUCUUAUGAUUUUACGAGUUGACAUGUAUCUAACGUGCUAAAUCAGACUAAAACUCGAAACCAGUAAAAUCUAACUUAACUUGUGCAAAAUCGGUAAACUCGAUCUGAUUUUACGAGUUUACUAAAUUUGUGAUAUGAACCAAGUCAGAUCCAAAUUUGGCCUUAAAAUGUCUGCUGACUAGUUUUGCGAGAUUGAACAUAUCUUUCAAACCAUAUAUUGGAUAAAACUGAAAUUUUACAGGGAAAUAUUAGAUACAUGAAAAUAUAUUGUGGUAAAGUUUCAGGUCAAAUAAAGAUAAGAAACAUAAUACUUCAAAGGGUCAAAGUUAGUACACUAAUAUUAUCAAAUAUGUCAAACAAGACCUUCGUGUACUAUUUGGGACUUAUCUAGAGCUACCAGUAGAAUUUUGCUUCGAUUAAAGUUGGGAUAGAAACUAGACUGGAACUUUCCAAAUAUAUAUCGUAAGCCCAAUAAUUCAUCCAAACGAGAGAGAAUGAUGUAUUUGAAAUCAGAAGAGAACGACAUAUUUGAAAUCAGGACUCAAAUCUGCCAAGAAUAUGCAAAAAUUGAAGAUUCAGGCUACAUAGAGGAAUUUUAACAUAAAGAUUUUAUUAUUAUUCUAUUUAUUUAUUUUUAAAUAAUUAUUUUUAAUUUGAAUUUUUUCUAGCGCAUUAGACAUUGCUUAGGGGUUUAUUUCAUUAUUGAAUUUAUGUUAGUUAAUUACUAAUUUAAACUCAUUAGCUUGCAACCCAAAAGGGGUCUAUCAAGGCUUAUUGUGAUGGGAACAACCAGGUUGUCACUAGAUUUAUGUGUGCUUCCUACCUUUCAGUGAUUCCCCUGUAUUGAGAAAUUUUGUUCUGAGACUUUUUAUUUCUCCAUGUCAUUAAUUUAUUGAUUCAUACUAUUUAUCUCUCUCAUUUUAUUUAGAUCACUCAUUGAUUAUAAUAUUGUUGACUUAUUUUAUCAUAAUUUAAUGUAAAUUAAUUUAUUGGCUAGAUUAUCAAUAUAUAAUUAGUUUAAAAAAAUUACUUACAAUUUUAUGAUUUUACAAUUCGAGUUUACGAUCCGAGUUUAUAUUGUAUUUUUUAUGUCGUGUCAAAAAAAAUGUUUUUGACAACCUUGGUCAUCGCUUUACUGUAGUAAUACAUUCAAACUUGUCUCUAAAUGUUUUCCAACCUCUAAUUCAUUAACUAUUAAGCUUGAAUGCCUACGACUAUUAGCUCAGUCAUUGCAUUCAUAAUGGUCAUCCACACUCACAACCUUAAAUUUAAGAGCAGAAGGAGUCAUGUAUUGAUUAACAUGCUCAACUAACUUAGCAUCCCCAUCUUCUUCAUCUUCCUCCUCGACCUCGACUCUAUCAAUGUGAUAAUCAUAUUCGUCGUCACUUGGUACGAAUUCUUCAUAGCAAUAUGGAGCAUAUGUCAUACUCAACAGAGAUUCCAUAUUAACAAUUUCAUGUACUGAUAUUUGUCUACUUGCAUUACCACCUAACCUAGAUGGACCAGCUACUUGCGAUGCUUAUGUGGUUCUCUAAGAGAUACUUGGAACCUGGGUCAACUUCAUACUAGAAGAGUUUCCUCAUCUAGGUCUACUAUUUAAGUAAAGCUCCAGCAUAUUAAUCUCAUUGAUCCUCGCAAACCAAAACAUUGAAUCCACACUUCCAUCACUAAAAAUUGGUAAACUGACAUAACAAAGCUUGACUGAUCCCGGUUUACAACAUCCUCCAAGUAAUUUCAACUUUUAUUUCAAAUAUAUUCUAGCCAAGUCGAUCACAUAAUAUUCUAGAUAACUCGUUAAAGGAUGUGUCUAAUGUAGCAGUUAGGAACUCGUGGUUUCCUCCAUUAUAAGUGAUAUCAUUGUUGGUAUUAACAAUGAUACCACCAUGGAAGUAUAAUACUCAUAAAUUACCACACAUUCUAUCAAAAAACACAACAAAACAUAAUUCUAAUUUAUUAAUAUCUUGAGGUUAAUCAAAGUGCAUGAUUUAUUAACAAAACCAUAAUGGUAACAUAAUUGGCUAAAACCUAAAUUCAUCAAAUUAAUCGGUGAACACCUACAUUCAUCAAAUUUCGCUACCAUAAAAAAAUUAUCAAUCAAAUUCAUGCAUUUCAUAGGCAAUUAUCUUAUUUUAUACUUAAUUUGGUAUAAUCCAUAAUUUAACCUAAAUACUAUUUAAGUAAAGCUCCAGCAUAUUAAUCUCAUUGAUCCUCGCAAACCAAAACAUUGAAUCCACACUUCCAUCACUAAAAAUUGGUAAACUGACAUAACAAAGCUUGACUGAUCCCGGUUUACAACAUCCUCCAAGUAAUUUCAACUUUUAUUUCAAAUAUAUUCUAGCCAAGUCGAUCACAUAAUAUUCUAGAUAACUCGUUAAAGGAUGUGUCUAAUGUAGCAGUUAGGAACUCGUGGUUUCCUCCAUUAUAAGUGAUAUCAUUGUUGGUAUUAACAAUGAUACCACCAUGGAAGUAUAAUACUCAUAAAUUACCACACAUUCUAUCAAAAAACACAACAAAACAUAAUUCUAAUUUAUUAAUAUCUUGAGGUUAAUCAAAGUGCAUGAUUUAUUAACAAAACCAUAAUGGUAACAUAAUUGGCUAAAAUCUAAAUUCAUCAAAUUAAUCGGUGAACACCUACAUUCAUCAAAUUUCGCUACCAUAAAAAAAUUAUCAAUCAAAUUCAUGUAUUUCAUAGGCAAUUAUCUUAUUUUAUACUUAAUUUGGUAUAAUCCAUAAUUUAACCUAAAUCAACAUUAAUUCUAACAAAAUAAUUUUUGUUAAUUCACAAUCAACAACAACCCAAAAUCAUUGAUUAUUUUUUAAAAAAACUAAUUAUCAACUCAAAUUAUAUCUAAUUAACCUAAUUACAAAAAACCCUAAAUUUUUUUAAAAAUCCGUAAUUCAAAAUCCUAACGUUGUAUGAAAUCAAAUUAACACACAUUAGCAUAAAUUACAUCGAAUUGAUAAAGGAAAAAUGUUCAAUAUACCUCUAAAUGUAGAAUGUGGAUGGUGAUGGUGAUUGGUGGUGGAUGUUUUAGCCGGAAAUUGGUAGAGUCACGGUGAGGAGGGGGGAUCUCGAGCUAGAGAGAGAUGGGUGAUCCCAUGGUGUUUUGGGUGUGUUUUGUGGUGAAGAGAGUGAGAGAGAAAGGUCGUUGAUG